rnacentral:lncRNA from 1 species
UAGAAUAAUGAAAGCACGUCAUGCCGAGGGCUUAAAAAAAAUCUCUCCCAUUAGAAUUCAGUUCCAAAUUCAUACAACUGAAAAGAAAAUAGAUACUCGCACACCCUGCGGCAGCUCCCAAGCCAUGGUUCAUCUGUCUCCCAGUCCUGAGCCCGUCUCCAGCGUCGCGCCGCGCCUCAAGAUGGCAACCGGGACGAAACCCGCCUGCUCAAACCCAUCCCCAUGAGAAAAUCACAAACCCAUCCCCGUCCCCGUCACCGUGCGCGGGGCUAGUUUUUUGCCCGUCCCCUAAACCUAUUGGUUUUCUAAACCAACGAGGAACCCACGAGGAAAUCGACAUAUUUAAGCAAACAUAAUAGCAGCAAAGAAUAGCAUUUCAACAGCAAAAGGAGCAUAUUUUAACAGCAUAACUUGCGAAAAUUUCAGCAGGAUACAAUAGUACAUGGUUCAAUAGCUACAAGGAGCAUAUUUCAGUAGCAGAACUUGAGCAAAAAGAGCAAUAACAGCAGCUACAAGGAGCAUAUUUAUGCGGCAUAACUUGAGAAAAAAGAGCAAUAACAUCAGCUACAAAGAGCAGUAACAGCAGCUACAUAAGCAUAUAUCAGCAACAAACAAAAGCAUUAUUCAGCCAUACAUUGUUCAACAAGAUGUCCAAUUAGGCUUAGUGUAGUAUUUUGACGGGGAUGGCGGGUUUCGGGUUCGGGUAUUGCUCAAACGGGUUUAAACCCGUGAAACAUGUUGGGUUUUAUAAUUUACCCAGCAGCAGCCCCAUGGGGUUAAAAAGACGCCCAUCCCCGUCCCCUAAUAGGGUAAAAACCCGCGGGGACGCGGGUUUCGGGGCCCCAUUGCCAUCUUGAGCCGCGCCGCUCCAGCGCCGUGCUGCAAGAGGAACACAACAGCAUCAGUUCUAUCCUCUAAUUCUUAUGCUGUAACCACUGAUACUCUCUCUCUCUCUCUCAUUAGUUUGCUUAAGCAUCCAAGAAAAUUAGAGCAUGACAGCAGCAGUUCCGUGUGAGGGCUGAUGCGAUGGUGCUGAACUUACAUGCCACGGUGCAGCUGGAGCUAGGACCGACGGACUCACGGUGCAAAUUGCAGCCCACAGGAGGACCACCACAAGCACGGCUACCGGCCUCCCCGCAGGAAACAACCUUGUCCAGGAGGUCCGCAACCUUGAAAUCUCCUUCCCCGCGCAAGGACUCGGCCGGAUUCGCCCUGAAGCCGUCGCCAUCAUCCUCCAACUCCAAGUCCGGCACCGUCCUUCAUCGUCGAUUACCUUGCCGUUGCUGCCUCCCCGACCUCGCCGUCGAGUUCACCGUGAGUCGCCGCAACUUUUCCCUUUGUUUCCCCCUCUGAUUAGGACCCGUAGCCGAGUCUUGCCAUCAUUGCCGACGCCAUGGUCACUGCCACCUCGCCAUGGCCAGUCCUCUCGAUCCGGCCCGAGCUUUGACGCCGCCGGACCGCGAACUCUAGAUCUGGCGCCCCCAAACCUCGUAGGCCUUCCGCACGCCUCUCUAACCCUCCUCCGCCUGGAUCCCUCCGUUGGCAGCCGCCUGUCGCCGUUCUCCGGGGUGGGAGGCAGGAGGUGGCCGGCGGCGCCCGGUGAGGUGGGGCGGGUCGGGGCGUGGCAGGAAGCGGCUGGCGGCGCGCGGUGAGGCGGGGCGGAGCGUGACGAUGCAGAGUCGGGGCUGGGUUAUUUUUCC